CAAUAACAAACCAAGCCGCGGCGGUGUCCGCGGCCCUGCCGAGCCCUCGGCGUUGCCUCAGAAUCCCCCAGUCGCCUGGGCCCCUCGGCUCUGACAGGCCGCGGCCUUCUGUCCCCCGGCCCCAGACCCAGAGCCGAGGGGCCUGCUCGCGUCCUUGUCCGCCCGGACCCCUCCCUGCCUCCUAGAGUUCGGGGCCGCGGCGGGCGGGCGCCCGGGACGCCGGCGGUUGUGUCGGCUUAGCGGUGCCGAAUGGGCGGUUGGUAACCGCUGCCGAGGACUAGGCGGCGGCGGAAGAUGGUGCCGGGGGUCGCUGGCUCUGCUGCUGCCGCCGGCGAAGGAGGAGGCGUUGCCGGUGUGGCAGACCUUAAGCAUGCCAUUCAAAGCAAAUACAAGAUUGCUAUUCAACACCAGGUGCUGGUGGUCAAUGGAGGAGAAUGCAUGGCUGCAGAUCGAAGAGUGUGUACCUACAGUGCUGGGACGGAUACAAAUCCAAUUUUUCUUUUUAACAAAGAAAUGAUCUUAUGUGAUCGUCCACCUGCUAUUCCUAAAACUACCUUUUCGACAGAAAAUGACAUGGAAAUAAAAGUUGAAGAAUCUCUUAUGAUGCCUGCAGUUUUUCAUACUGUUGCUUCAAGGACACAGCUUGCAUUGGAAAUGUAUGAAGUUGCCAAGAAACUUUGUUCUUUUUGUGAAGGUCUUGUACAUGAUGAACAUCUUCAACACCAAGGCUGGGCUGCAAUCAUGGCCAACCUGGAGGACUGUUCAAAUUCAUACCAAAAGCUACUUUUCAAGUUUGAAAGUAUUUAUUCAAAUUAUCUGCAGUCCAUAGAAGACAUCAAGUUAAAACUUACUCAGAACUGCAGUUUCAGUAAUGGCCAAGAUUCCACUGUUGGAGUGCCUAACCAGACAUAGUUACAGAGAAUGUUUGGGAAGACUGGAUUCUUUACCUGAACAUGAAGACUCAGAAAAAGCUGAGAUGAAAAGAUCCACUGAACUGGUGCUCUCUCCUGAU
rnacentral:lncRNA from 1 species